GUGCUCCCCUCUGCAGCACAUACAUUAAAGCUGAAACAAUACAGAAAAGAUGAGCAAGCACCACCCCUGUGUAGGGGUGACACCCAAAUUCAUGAAGAGUACCACAGUUUA